UCUUAUGGAUAAACAAAGAAAGUGGUUUCUUGAGAUGGACUUUACUCCCAGUGAAGGUGCUGUGAA
rnacentral:pre_miRNA from 1 species